AGAGUUUGAUCAUGGCUCAGGAUGAACGCUGGCGGCGUGCUUAAUACAUGCAAGUCGAACGGAGGACUUUUGUAGUAAUACAGAGGUUUCUCAGUGGCGAACGGGCGAGUAACGAGUUGGUGACCUGCCCCGAAGUGUGGGAUAACAGUCCGAAAGGAUUGCUAAUACCUCAUGUGAUUAUCAGGUUUAGAAACUGAUAAUUAAAGCAGUAAUGCGCUUCGGGAGGGACCUGCUUCCCAUCAGCUAGUUGGUGAGGUAAUGGCCCACCAAGGCUACGACGGGUAUGGGACCUGAGAGGGUGGUCCCACGCAAUGGCACUGAAACACGGGCCAUACACCUACGGGUGGCAGCAGUAGGGAAUAUUGGGCAAUGGGCGAAAGCCUGACCCAGCAACGCCGCGUGCACGAUGAAGGCCUUCGGGUCGUAAAGUGCUUUUCUGAGGGAUGAGUAAGGACAGUACCUCAGGAAUAAGCCUCGGCUAACUACGUGCCAGCCGCCGCGGUAA
rnacentral:rRNA from 1 species